rnacentral:pre_miRNA from 1 species
CUUUUCCUCCUUCUGUUCGACCAAUUCAGUCAUGCACCCUCUAACCACUGCGAUUGGUCCAAUAAAGAAGGUGGAGUUUUU